AACGAACGCUGGCGGCGUGGAUAAGACAUGCAAGUCGAACGGAAUAUCAUGAGUAGUAAUACGAGUGGUGUUUAGUGGCGAACGGGUGCGUAACACGUGGAUACAUUCCGGAAAGCGGGGGAUAGCCCAGGGAAACUUGGAUUAAUACCGCAUGUGGUCGAGAGACUAAAGACGGGGAUCGAAAGACCUGUCACUUUCCGAUUGGUCCGCGGCCUAUCAGCUAGUUGGCGGGGUAAAAGCCCACCAAGGCUACGACGGGUAGCUGGUCUUAGAGGACGACCAGCCACGCUGGAACUGAGACACGGUCCAGACACCUACGGGUGGCAGCAGUCGAGAAUCUUUCACAAUGGGGGCAACCCUGAUGGAGCGACGCCGCGUGGAGGAUAAGGUCUUCGGAUUGUAAACUCCUGUCAUGCGCGAACAAGGUUGCUGGGUUAAUAACCCGGCAAAUUGAUGGUACCGCAAGAGGAAGAGACGGCUAACUCUGUGCCAGCCGCCGCGGUAAAAC
rnacentral:rRNA from 1 species